GAUGAACGCUGGCGGCGUGCCUAAUACAUGCAAGUCGAGCGAACGGACGAGAAUGUUUCUUCUCGGAUGUUAGCGGCUGGCGGGUGAGUAACACGUGGAUAACCUACCUAUGAGACUGGGAUAACUUCGGGAAACCGGAGCUAAAGCCGUGUAAUAUUUUGAACCACAUGGUUAAAAAGUGAAAGACGGUCUUGCUGUAAAUUAUGGAGGGAUCCGCUCGGCAUUAGCUAGUUGGUAAGGUAACGGCUUACCAAGGCAACGAUGCAAAGCCCACAUGAGAGCGUGAUUCGGCACCCUGGAACUGAGACACGGCCCCCACACCUACGGGAGGCCGCAGUACGGACUCCUACGCAAUGGGCGAAAGCCUGACGGAGCAAAGCCGCGUGAGUGCUGAAGGUCCUAGGCUCGUAAAACUAUGUUAUUAGGGAAGAACAUAUGUGCAAGCAACAGUGAACAUAUUGACGGUACCUAACCAGAAAGCCACGGCUAACUACGUG
rnacentral:rRNA from 1 species